CGUAUAUUAAAGUUGUUGCAGUUAAAAAGCUCGUAGUUGGACUUGUGCAUGUCCCUGUAUGUCCAUAUUGUUUGGUGCCUUCAAGGGCGUGCAUCCUUGGGUGAAACCUGUGUGGCAUUAGGUUGUCGUGUAGGGAAUGCUCAUCGUUUACUGUGAAAAAAUUAGAGUGUUCAAAGCAGGCUUAUGCCGUUGAAUAUAUUAGCAUGGAAUAAUAAGAUAGAACCUUGGUACUAUUUUGUUGGUUUGCGAACUGGGGUAAUGAUUAACAGGAACAAUUGGGGG
rnacentral:rRNA from 1 species